GAGAAUAUCAAUUGGGACUGUGACUUACAUUACAUGUCCUUUGCAUACCGAUCUAUAUUGACAAGUUGAUUCUUCAAGAAUUUCCCCCUCCAAUCACAGCAGGAAAGGUGCCUUAAUGGGGGUGGAAGUGGGUGCCGAAAGAGUGCUGCCAUUUCCUUCAUUGCAACAUAGUAUGAUGCAUCAAAAGGAUUGCUGCUCGAUCCUUUCCUUUUAAGUGCUCUUUUUUCCUUUUCAUUUCAACAGGUGAGGACUGUACCAGCUAGAAUUGUAGAAUUCGCAGUGUUGACAGAAUAAUCUUCUAAGAUUCAAAAUAUAUACUAUCUAUGGUCUUGAGCUGCUCCAUCUCCUCCACUUGUGCAAUCCCAGGAUCAACAAAACA